GGCCACACUGCCAAACAAAACAACCAGGUACUAACUAGGCCACUGUUAUGCUCAAAGCCUUCUCACAACUCAAUAGCAUAAAAUAUUCUAAACACAAACACUACUGGGGAUGGAAGAGAUGCAGCAAAAUCCAUAAGACACUGGCAGCUGUGUAUGGCCUCGAUGGAGGGCAAUAAGGACAUCAUGGUGGUGGCAAGUCCAUGUUAUCUUGCACAAUGUUAUUAUUCAUGCCGAUUAUCUCUACAGCCAUGGAGUUUGCUCAUAGCCGCUUUAUCUUUAGUCCGGUUUGCAGCAUUUUCCCGUAUCUCUUCUUCUAAUGGAGAGGCCUACUUUCCUUUUGAUAUCGAGUGAUGCUACUUGACAGUAUCUAGUCAAUCUACUGUUAGCUUUCACAGCCCCCUCUCUGUAUCAAUUAUCAUCAAUGAUGCCUCUUCUAUCUCUUCUCAACUAUCAUCAACAAUGCCUCUGCUUUGCCUCAUAUUUCGAAUAGUGAAUCGGUGCAUGAACAGGCCUAAGCUGCUGCUUGGAGAGUUUUGGUCAGCCAGUCACCGUGCCUCCCGGGGAGGUUCCUUGUUGAACAGUCAAGUUUUGUGAACCACGUUAGGAUGUUUUGUUAUUUUAUUUUUGUUUAUCUAUACGCUGGGCUAAGUCCCUUAUGAUACUAAUUAUGUGGUGGCACAUAACGUAUGGAAGUUUGACAUUAUGUAUAU